rnacentral:rRNA from 1 species
CCUACGGGGGGCAGCAGUGAGGAAUAUUGGUCAAUGGGCUUACGCCUGAACCAGCCAAGUCGCGUGAGGGAAGACUGCCCUCUGGGUUGUAAACCUCUUUUGUCAGGGAGCAACGCCGGCUACGUGUAGCCGGACUGAGAGUACCUGAAGAAAAAGCAUCGGCUAACUCCGUGCCAGCAGCCGCGGUCAUACGGAGGAUGCGAGCGUUCUCCGGAUUUAUUGGGGUUAAGGGGUGCGUAGGCGGAAUGUCAAGUCAGCGGUAAAACCGCGGGGCUAAACCUCGCUCCGCAGUGGAAACUGGCGGUCUUGAGUGGGCGAGAGGUAUGCGGAAUGCGUGGUGUAGCGGUGAAAUGCAUAGAUAUCACGCAGAACUCCGAUUGCGAAGGCAGCAUACCGGCGCCCAACUGACGCUGAAGCACGAAAGCGUGGGUAUCGAACAGGAUUAGAUACCCUUGUAGUC